ACUCUUCCCCUCGCCACGCGAAGCGCCUAUAUUGAGGGUGUCGGGUUUCGGCCCUACUAUGGGGAUAAACGCCCACGUAAUAAGCGAACUGGACCCGGGUGCGAUUCCCGGCGGCUCCACCAUUUACCUCCCAGGCUUAGGGACUAUGGGGCCGAUCAGCAUCGACAGGCGUGUAAAGGUGAAGCUUUCCCUCAGUGUGAGGCUCUGUGAUCGCCUCAUUUUAUAACUGCGAACGAUAACUUCGCUUCGGAUCAAGCUCUUGCUGCGUAAUGCGGCGGAUCUAAUCCACCUAAACUCCUAGGAACUAAGCCUCCUAGGCGGGGC
rnacentral:tmRNA from 1 species